UACGUAGGUGGCGAGCGUUGUCCGGAUCUACUGGGCGUAAAGGGAGCGUAGGCGGACUUUUAAGUGAGAUGUGAAAUACUCGGGCUCAACUUGAGUGCUGCAUUUCAAACUGGAAGUCUAGAGUGCAGGAGAGGAGAAUGGAAUUCCUAGUGUAGCGGUGAAAUGCGUAGAGAUUAGGAAGAACACCAGUGGCGAAGGCGAUUCUCUGGACUGUAACUGACGCUGAGGCUCGAAAGCGUGGGGAGCGAACAGG
rnacentral:rRNA from 1 species